rnacentral:rRNA from 1 species
GAAGAUGCAGUGUACCCGCGGCAAGACGGAAAGACCCCGUGAACCUUUACUAUAGCUUGACACUGAACAUUGAGCCUUGAUGUGUAGGAUAGGUGGGAGGCUUUGAAGUGUGGACGCCAGUCUGCAUGGAGCCGACCUUGAAAUACCACCCUUUAAUGUUUGAUGUUCUAACGUGGACCCGUGAUCCGGGUUGCGGACAGUGUCUGGUGGGUAGUUUGACUGGGGCGGUCUCCUCCUAAAGAGUAACGGAGGAGCACGAAGGUUGGCUAAUCCUGGUCGGACAUCAGGAGGUUAGUGCAAUGGCAUAAGCCAGCUUGACUGCGAGCGUGACGGCGCGAGCAGGUGCGAAAGCAGGUCAUAGUGAUCCGGUGGUUCUGAAUGGAAGGGCCAUCGCUCAACGGAUAAAAGGUACUCCGGGGAUAACAGGCUGAUACCGCCCAAGAGUUCAUAUCGACGGCGGUGUUUGGCACCUCGAUGUCGGCUCAUCACAUCCUGGGGCUGAAGUAGGUCCCAAGGGUAUGGCUGUUCGCCAUUUAAAGUGGUACGCGAGCUGGGUUUAGAACGUCGUGAGACAGUUCGGUCCCUAUCUGCCGUGGGCGCUGGAGAACUGAGGGGGGCUGCUCCUAGUACGAGAGGACCGGAGUGGACGCAUCACUGGUGUUCGGGUUGUCAUGCCAAUGGCACUGCCCGGUAGCUAAAUGCGGAAGAGAUAAGUGCUGAAAGCAUCUAAGCACGAAACUUGCCCCGAGAUGAGUUCUCCCUGAGACUUUAGGUCUCCUGAAGGAACGUUGAAGACGACGACGUUGAUAGGCCGGGUGUGUAAGCGCAGCGAUGCGUUGAGCUAACCGGUACUAAUGAACCGUGAGGCUUAACCUUACA